AGUGAACGCUGGCGGUAGGCCUAACACAUGCAAGUCGAACGGCAGCACAGUAAGAGCUUGCUCUUACGGGUGGCGAGUGGCGGACGGGUGAGGAAUACAUCGGCAUCUACUUUUUCGUGGGGGAUAACGUAGGGAAACUUACGCUAAUACCGCAUACGACCUACGGGUGAAAUCAGGGGAUCUUCGGACCUUGCGCGAUUGAAUGAGCCGAUGUCGGAUUAGCUAGUUGGCGGGGUAAAGGCCCACCAAGGCGACGAUCCGUAGCUGGUCUGAGAGGAUGAUCAGCCACACUGGAACUGAGACACGGUCCAGACUCCUACGGGAGGCAGCAGUGGGGAAUAUUGGACAAUGGGCGCAAGCCUGAUCCAGCCAUACCGCGUGGGUGAAGAAGGCCUUCGGGUUGUAAAGCCCUUUUGUUGGGAAAGAAAAGCAGCAGGUUAAUACCCCGCUGUUCUGACGGUACCCAAAGAGUAAGCACCGGCUAACUUCGUG
rnacentral:rRNA from 1 species